UGUAAUGGCGGCUGUGCGUGGGAGACCUUCGGGUCUGCCGGGUUCCUUUUCCUCGGUUCGCCAACCUGCGUACAGCUGCCACCCUA
rnacentral:antisense_RNA from 18 species